AGACAACUUUGGCAAUGUGUCACGCAGUUAACGGUUCAUCAGUAGUUCGGCAGGAGAUAACCCACAACCAAGUGGGGAGGAACGGGGGCUCGACGUUGUAUGCUUAAAGCCAUACUGUUCUGCAAACAGUCUGAAUUCAAGACUACUAUACUGAGGACCAUUAUCACUUUGCACAAUGAAGUUUCCGUCAGGGACUGAGAAGCAUAGGCCACAGGUUUCCAGGAAUCUCCACCAGCCUGAAGAAGCACAGCUCCUAGUCCAUCCUGAGAGGCAUCUGUAGAGGUCUUAAUUGGACGGGUGUAAUCAAAGAAAUCAAGAACAGGUUAAGUAGUCAGGUUAUCUCUUUUAACCUCUUCCAUUCUUAAACAUUUACAAAAGACCACACAAACUCUUUGUCAUUUUGUAACAAUGCUCUCAGAUGGGUAGUUUUGGCAGAUAGAUUUGGCAGAAAUUUUCCUAGGAA